GUAGGUGGCAAGCGUUGUCCGGAAUUAUUGGGCGUAAAGCGCGCGCAGGUGGUUCCUUAAGUCUGAUGUGAAAGACCCCCGGGCUUAACCGGGGGAGGGUCAUUGGAAACUGGGGAACUUGAGUGCAGGAGAGGAAAGUGGAAUUCCACGUGUAGCGGUGAAAUGCGUAGAUAUGUGGAGGAACACCAGUGGCGAAGGCGACUUUCUGGCCUGUAACUGACACUGAGGCGCGAAAGCGUGGGGAGCAAACAGGAUUAGAUACCCUGGUAGUCCACGCCGUAAACGAUGAGUGCUAAGUGUUGGGGGGUCUCCGCCCCUCAGUGCUGCAGCUAACGCAUUAAGCACUCCGCCUGGGGAGUACGGCCGCAAAGACUG
rnacentral:rRNA from 1 species